AGUGAACGCUGGCGGUAGGCCUAACACAUGCAAGUCGAACGGCAGCACAGUAAGAGCUUGCUCUUACGGGUGGCGAGUGGCGGACGGGUGAGGAAUACAUCGGAAUCUACUUUUUCGUGGGGGAUAACGUAGGGAAACUUACGCUAAUACCGCAUACGACCUACGGGUGAAAGCAGGGGAUCUUCGGACCUUGCGCGAUUGAAUGAGCCGAUGUCGGAUUAGCUAGUUGGCGGGGUAAAGGCCCACCAAGGCGACGAUCCGUAGCUGGUCUGAGAGGAUGAUCCGCCACACGGGAAGUGAGACACGGUCCAGACUCCUACGGGAGGCAGCAGUGGGGAAUAUUGGACAAUGGGCGGAAGCAUGAUCCAGCCAUACCGCGUGGGUGAAGAAGGCCUUCGGGUUGUAAAGCCCUUUUGUUGGGAAAGAAAAGCAGCAGGUUAAUACCCCGCUGUUCUGACGGUACCCAAAGAAUAAGCACCGGCUAACUUCGUG
rnacentral:rRNA from 1 species